CUCGAGGACUGGACAACCGCUGAAGACUGUAGCAACAGUUUUAGUUCCAAUCUCGCAUCAUUUGCAUUUCAACCUUAUCAUGCCUUAUCAUGAAGAUGUGCUGCAACGUCGUGCAUCUUUCACAACAUUCUGCUGAAAACGGUCCGUCGCUGUCACAUCCUGACCGGGGAGCAGGAGGCCAGCCUGAACUCUGUUGAACUUGUUGCCUCAGUAAGAAAAGGAGGCUUCCCUCUGUGUGAGUGUGUGUGUGUGUGUGUGUGUGUGUGUGUGUGUGUGUGUGUGUGUGUAAACGCCUCCUCUUGUUCAUCAUGAACGCUCACAUGCAGUUGCGUGCAUGUUGGAUGCACGUUAGCGUGUGUUUUUUACAUAAUCUCACACUAUCAGGAAGAGCACCUUGGGGGUGUUCGGGGAUAAACGGUGGAAACAAAACAAACCAGGCUUCCUUGUUUUUCCUUCCACUGUGUAAUCAGAUUCAUGACAUAAGCAGGUGACAAACGAACAGCAGUGCCUGGCAAACAGUAACCAAAACCACCUUCCUUCUUCCUUCCAGGACGCUUUGAAUGAAAACCGAUACUCAGCUCUUUUUAAAUACAUUCAUAACUGUUUUGACCUCAUAAAUACACCUUUUAUUGCUGCCUAUGAGUGUAAUGUUUUUGUGCAUGUCUAUGUGUUCAGUUUUACUAAAUCAUUUAAUGAAUCAGAGGAGUGUGAUAAUAAAACUCUCAGAAAGUAAUAAAUGUACAUCUACAACUGAUUAACUUUUAAGGUCUUUCAAAGUAUGUUUUGAAUAGUAAAAUGUGUCUUUCAUCAUCAAGCU